rnacentral:rRNA from 1 species
GAUGAACGCUGGCGGCGUGCCUAAUACAUGCAAGUCGAGCGAAGCGGGGACGGGUGAGUAACACGUGGAUAACCUCCUAUAAGACUGGGAUACCUUCGGGAAACCGUAGCUAAACCGCAUACUUAUAGAUGGAUCCGCGCUGCAUUAGCUAGUUGGUAAGGUAACGGCUGACCAAGGCAACGAUGCCUAGCCGACCUGAUAGGGUGAUCGGCCACACUGGAACUGAGACACGGUCCAGACUCCUACGGGAGGAAGCAGUAGGGAAUAUUCCGCAAUGGGCGAAAGCCUGACGGAGCAACGCCGCGUGAGUGAUGAAGGUCUUCGGAUCGUAAAACUCUGUUAGUAGGGAAGCGGUACCUAAUCAGAAAGCAACGGCUAACUACGUGCCAGCAGCCGCGGUAAUAG